CAGAGACCAUGAGGAGCAGCUACUAAGAAACCCAUUUUUACAUCGGAAAAAAACUUCAUGUACUAACCAAUGAGUAGUUGUUAAAAGCCAAUGAAUAAUUUUAUAAGAAAUCAACAAUAAUGUUGAAAAAAAAACCAAACAAAAAUAAUAAAGCCAAUGAAUAGAUUAAGGCUCUUUAAGGUCUAAUAAACUAAUCAAACUAAGUUGUGGGUAAAGGCGAAUAUGUUUGUUUGGUCAAUAAUAAGCUCAACAAAUCACUAAUAAUCACCUAAUCACUUUUCCUUAUGCUAUGCAAUGUAAUGGCCUGGGUAAUGGCUGCAAGGCAGGCAAUAACUAGCUAGCCAGUUAUGAUAGUGGAUUAACUUAACCUACUGGAAAUCUGAAGACCAAAACGAAGAAGCUUUGACGAGAACUAGAAUAGGAACGUUCAUACCCAAAACUAAUAUAUAUGAUUAAGAAACUUGAUUAAAUGUAUAAUUUUGUUUGCCGCAAUUUAAGAGAACUUUCAAAAGAUGCUAAGGUACACCAAAUCCCACUAUUCCAUACUCGUAAACACAAAAAACCAUGGCAAAAAUUAAUUACUAUAUCAAAUAAAAUAGGUCGUAGGACAUUGAGAUUAGGAAAACAUGAUUUGUAUACUGUAAAAUAACUAUAUCUGCAUAGUCAACUAUAUUUCUGUUAGAACUCUAAAGUUUUCCAUUAAAUUUUUUUUCCCUCUUAAGUAAACCACUUAACUGAAAUGCUUAAGCCAAUAUUGACAAUCAUAGACAUACAAGUAUUAUUAAGCUCGUUCAAGUGAAAUGAGCAUUAUUUUACAUAUCCUUUAGGUUUUUAAGUCAUUUAGAAGUCAUUCAUGUUAAAAAAUUUCUUCAUAUACUUUCAAUAUAAUUAGUACCUGCACAAUUAAUUAAUUAAAUAAAUCUGUUUCAGCUGGCACAGGAACUUAAUUGAUCAGAGCUAGUAGUCAUAGCUAGGACUUGAACGGGGCACCUUUCAAAGUUCAAGAGGAGCAUCUGAACAGAAUGAAAGCAUAUAACUUAUCAGACAAUAUAACAAGCACUUGGUGAGUAUACAAGAUAAACUAAAACAAGUUAUCUAGAAAAUGAAACUAAAACCCAAGCUCCGCUAUUCAUUGUAGAAGCUUUAAACAUAAAAUUAAAGUAAUUCUAAUUGCAAAACAUUAGAAUGGAUGUUGAAAUUAAAGCUAAAUUCAAUAGUAAUUCAAAUGAAUCCAUUUGAACUUUGUUAAUUCCGCAGAACAAAAUUAAUUUGAGUGAGCAAACUCACCAAUGGAACAAGAACACUGGGGCUUCAACUUGUAGGAAUAAAAAAAGGAAAAAUAUUGCUGGCGGGACAAAAAUUGACAAUGACGGCUAAAAUACGAAUUAUAAAAAAAAACCAAAAUCUAUAAUUACAAGCUAAGAGAAGAAACUCAUAAUCACAAGCUUACCUCAAAAGAUGAAGGGAGAAUACGAUGAAGAAGAAGAUGGCCGGUGUUUUACGCCGUUCGCCGGCAACCAGUUAGGUUUACGAUGGUGGCUAGUCCAGCGAAUAGUUUUGUAACUGGAAAUAAAUUUAAAAUUCUAAAAUAGUAGGAUACCGAACGGCUCUUUACCGUCACGUGGUUAGUAACAUAUGCGACAGCAGUGUGGCUGUCACAUAAAGGGUAACAAAAGCAACUCGG
rnacentral:lncRNA from 1 species